rnacentral:rRNA from 1 species
GGACCCGCACAAGUAGUGGAGCAUGUGGUUUAAUUCGAAGAUACGCGCAGAACCUUACCAACACUUGACAUGUUCGUCGCGGCUCUAAGAGAUUAGAGCUUUCGGUUCGGCCGGACGAAACACAGGUGCUGCAUGGCUGUCGUCAGCUCGUGUCGUGAGAUGUUGGGUUAAGUCCCGCAACGAGCGCAACCCUCACUUUUAGUUGCCAUCAUUUAGUUGGGCACUCUGAAAGAACUGCCAGUGAUAAGCUGGAGGAAGGUGGGGAUGACGUCAAGUCCUCAUGGCCCUUACGUGUUGGGCUACACACGUGCUACAAUGGCAUUUACAAUAGGAAGCAAGAUGGCGACGUCAAGCAAAUCCUAAAAAGAUGCCUCAGUUCGGAUUGUACUCUGCAACUCGAGUACAUGAAGCUGGAAUU